UACGGAGGAUCCAAGCGUUAUCCGGAAUCAUUGGGUUUAAAGGGUCCGUAGGCGGUUUAAUAAGUCAGUGGUGAAAGCCCAUCGCUCAACGGUGGAACGGCCAUUGAUACUGUUAGACUUGAAUUAUUAGGAAGUAACUAGAAUAUGUAGUGUAGCGGUGAAAUGCUUAGAGAUUACAAUGGGAAUACCCAAUUUGCGAAAGG
rnacentral:rRNA from 1 species